UAGUCUAGUGGUUAAGGCUAUGGAUCGCCAAUCCAGAGACGGCGGGUUCGAUUCCCGU
rfam:Aedes albopictus isolate Foshan contig78022, whole genome shotgun sequence.